rnacentral:rRNA from 1 species
AAGCGGAGGAAAAGAAACCAACAGGGAUUGCCCCAGUAACGGCGAGUGAAGCGGCAACAGCUCAAAUUUGAAAUCUGGCCUCGGCCCGAGUUGUAAUUUGUAGAGGAAGCUUCUGGUGCGGCGCCGUCCGAGUCUCCUGGAACGGAGCGCCAUAGAGGGUGAGAGCCCCGUAUGGACGGAUGCCAAACCUGUGCGAAGCUCCUUCGACGAGUCGAGUAGUUUGGGAAUGCUGCUCUAAAUGGGAGGUAAAUUCCUUCUAAAGCUAAAUAUUGGCCAGAGACCGAUAGCGCACAAGUAGAGUGAUCGAAAGAUGAAAAGCACUUUGAAAAGAGGGUUAAACAGCACGUGAAAUUGUUGAAAGGGAAGCGCUUGUGACCAGACUUGAGCGCGGCGGAUCAUCCGGUGUUCUCACCGGUGCACUCUGCCGCGCCCAGGCCAGCAUCGGUUUCCGCCGGGGGACAAAGGCACCGGGAACGUAGCUCCUCCGGGAGUGUUAUAGCCCGGGGCGUAAUGCCCUAGCGGGGACCGAGGACCGCGCAUCUGCAAGGAUGCUGGCGUAAUGGUCAUCAGCGACCCGUCUUGAAACACGGACCAAGGAGUCAAGGUUUUGCGCGAGUGUUUGGGUGUUAAACCCGCACGCGUAAUGAAAGUGAACGUAGGUGAGAGCUUCGGCGCAUCAUCGACCGAUCCUGAUGUAUUCGGAUGGAUUUGAGUAGGAGCGUUAAGCCUUGGACCCGAAAGAUGGUGAACUAUGCUUGGAUAGGGUGAAGCCAGAGGAAACUCUGGUGGAGGCUCGCAGCGGUUCUGACGUGCAAAUCGAUCGUCAAAUCUGAGCAU